rnacentral:rRNA from 1 species
CCACGGGCGGCUGCAGUGGGGAAUAUUGGACAAUGGGCGAAAGCCUGAUCCAGCCAUGCCGCGUGUGUGAAGAAGGCCUUCGGGUUGUAAAGCACUUUCAGUGGGGAAGAAAGCCUUGGGGCUAAUACCCUCGAGGAAGGACAUCACCCACAGAAGAAGCACCGGCUAACUCCGUGCCAGCAGCCGCGGUAAUACGGAGGGUGCGAGCGUUAAUCGGAAUUACUGGGCGUAAAGCGCGCGUAGGCGGUCUGAUAAGCCGGUUGUGAAAGCCCCGGGCUCAACCUGGGAACGGCAUCCGGAACUGUCAGGCUAGAGUGCAGGAGAGGAAGGUAGAAUUCCCGGUGUAGCGGUGAAAUGCGUAGAGAUCGGGAGGAAUACCAGUGGCGAAGGCGGCCUUCUGGACUGACACUGACGCUGAGGUGCGAAAGCGUGGGUAGCAAACAGGAUUAGAUACCCCGGUAGUC